CUCCAUCUCAGCUUUAAUCCCCCUGUUCUCCACCUCCAGUUCCACUAUUUUCCUGCCCAGUAUGUUGGCCUCCUCCUCCACCAGCUUCAGCCGAAGCUUCAGCUCAGCCUCUCUGGUACUGGGUGGGCCUCCAGCCUCUCCUGUAGGCAGAGGACUGUCCACAUCUCCAUAGAUGGACUUGUAUUUCUGGAGCUCCUGCUCCAGCUCAUCCUUCUCUCUCCCCAGCUUGGCCAUCUUCUUACGCAUCAGUGCUGCCUCCUCUUUGGCAAACUGAAGCUGACACUUCAAAUCAGCACUGUCCUCCUGGGCAAAUGCUUUUUUUUCUUUAUGCAUUUCUCUGCUGCCUCUUCUCUUCAGGGAACUCUCUUUUAGCUUGUCCAGCUCAUUUUGCAGCGUCUGCUUGGAUACCUCCACCUCGAUGAUUUGUUGCCGCAGGACUUCAUUCUCAUCUUCUGCUUUAACACGUUU
rnacentral:lncRNA from 1 species